GGUAAGAUGGCUGAGCUAUAGGCGAUAGAUUGUAAAUCUACAGACGGGGGGUUACCUCCUCAUACCA
rnacentral:tRNA from 1 species